CUACGUGCCAGCAGCCGCGGUAAUACGUAGGUCCCGAGCGUUGUCCGGAUUUAUUGGGCGUAAAGCGAGCGCAGGCGGUUUGAUAAGUCUGAAGUUAAAGGCUGUGGCUCAACCAUAGUUCGCUUUGGAAACUGUCAAACUUGAGUGCAGAAGGGGAGAGUGGAAUUCCAUGUGUAGCGGUGAAAUGCGUAGAUAUAUGGAGGAACACCGGUGGCGAAAGCGGCUCUCUGGUCUGUAACUGACGCUGAGGCUCGAAAGCGUGGGGAGCGAACAGGAUUAGAUACCCUGGUAGUCCACGCCGUAAACGAUGAGUGCUAGGUGUUGGAUCCUUUCCGGGAUUCAGUGCCGCAGCUAACGCAUUAAGCACUCCGCCUGGGGAGUACGACCGCAAGGUUGAAACUCAAAGGAAUUGACGGGGGCCCGCACAAGCGGUGGAGCAUGUGGUUUAAUUCGAAGCAACGCGAAGAACCUUACCAGGUCUUGACAUCCCGAUGCUAUUUCUAGAGAUAGAAAGU
rnacentral:rRNA from 1 species